rnacentral:rRNA from 1 species
UUCCGGUUGAUCCUGCCGGACCCGACUGCUAUCGGAUUGAGAUUAAGCCAUGCGAGUCAAACGCCUUUCGUCUGUGAGAGGUGUGGCAAACGGCUCAGUAACACGUUGCCAACCUACCCUGAAGAUGUAAACAACCCCGGGAAACUGGGACCAAUGUACAAUAGGUCAUUUCUCCUGGAAUGGGUUAUGAUUGAAAGGGUUGUGAGAGCAUGAUUUCACAAUUGCUUUAGGAUGGGGCUGCGUCCGAUCAGGUUGUUGGUGGGGUAACGGCCCACCAAGCCUGUAACCGGUGCGGGCUUUGAGAGAAGGAGCCCGGAGAUGGACACUGAGACAAGGGACCAGGCCCUACGGGGCGCAGCAGGCGCGAAAACUUCGCAAUGUGCGAAAGCGCGACGAGGUUAAUCCGAGUGCCGCCCGCUGAGGGUGGCUUUUCUCAGGUGUAAAUGGUCUGAGGAAUAAGGGGAGGGAAAGCCUGGUGUCAGCCGCCGCGGUAAUACCAGCUCCCCGAGUGGUCGGGACGUUUAUUGGGCCUAAAGCAUCCGUAGCCUGCUCUGUUGGUCCUAUGUCAAAUCCAAUCGCUCAACGAUUGGGCCGCAUGGGAUACCGCAGGGCUAGGAGGCGGGAGAGGCGGACGGUACUCCGUGGGUAGGGGUAAAAUCCACUGAUCCACGGAAGACCACCAGUGGCGAAGGCGGUCCGCCAGAACGCGCUCGACGGUGAGGGAUGAAAGCUGGGGGGAGCGAACCGGAUUAGAUACCCGGGUAGUCCCAGCUGUAAACGAUGCGAGCUAGGUGAUGGAGUGGCUACGUGCCAUUCCAGUGCCGCAGGGAAGCCGUUAAGCUCGCCGCCUGGGGAGUACGGUCGCAAGGCUGAACUUAAAGGAAUUGGACGGGGAGCACGACAGGGGUGAAGCCUGCGUUCAUUGGAUUCAACGCGA